AUCCUGGAUAGCUCAGUUGGUUAGAGCAUGGUGCUGAUAAUGUCAUGGUUGCAAGUUUGAUCCCUAUAUAGGACA
rnacentral:tRNA from 1 species